UACGGGGGGGGCAAGCGUUGUUCGGAAUUACUGGGCGUAAAGGGCUCGUAGGCGGCCAACUAAGUCGGACGUGAAAUCCCUCGGCUUAACCGGGGAACUGCGUCUGAUACUGGAUGGCUUGAGAUUGGGAGAGGGAUGCGGAAUUCCAGGUGUAGCGGUGAAAUGCGUAGAUAUCUGGAGGAACACCGGUGGCGAAGGCGGCAUCCUGGACCAACACUGACGCUGAUGAGCGAAAGCCAGGGGAGCAAACGGG
rnacentral:rRNA from 1 species